GAGCUGCUCUUGAUAGUCGAGCGCUCAGCAGAUGAAUCACUUGUUCAGUGACGAUAUACUCCUACAUCUCACCUGUGUGCUAUACCAGUAUCUCCACACUCCUUGUUAUGAGGACAACUGACCUAUAUAGCAUACAACAACCUACUCUUGAUAAAUGUCAUUGUCCCUAUUAAUGACGUAUCAUUUGGUUAUGAACAUGUUUAAGAACUAUUCGAUAAAUCCUCCUCUAUCGAUCAAAAUAUAGUUCUAGGGACUUCGUCACAACACAAAAGUUCUAGUAAGGAAGAUGUACACCUUGUGAUGAAAAAUAUCAAAAUAAUUUUUAUUCAUUGAUCAAUAAUUUAUAUACAAAAUUCAAUUAUUUACAAUAAGCUAAUUGACUUUAGGAUAUAAUUCUCAACAGUUUCUAUUGAAAGAUGCUAGGAUAAUUGAGAAGCAUAUAACAUUGCUUUUUAUUUAAUCUUUCGUGAGAGUAUUGAGCACAUAAAAGUGAAUUAAUAAUAUAUUUAAUUAUUUAUUAAAGUAGUGUAAGACAAGAUUUAGUCACAUGAUUCACUAAUUCUAAAGAUCAUGUGACUGAUCUG
rnacentral:lncRNA from 1 species